rnacentral:rRNA from 1 species
AAAGCCACGGCUAACUACGUGCCAGCAGCCGCGGUAAUACGUAGGGGGCAAGCGUUGUCCGGAAUUAUUGGGCGUAAAGCGCGCGCAGGCGGUCUUUUAAGUUUGGUGUUUAAGCCCGGGGCUCAACCCCGGUUCGCACUGAAAACUGGGAGACUUGAGUGCAGGAGAGGAAAGCGGAAUUCCACGUGUAGCGGUGAAAUGCGUAGAGAUGUGGAGGAACACCAGUGGCGAAGGCGGCUUUCUGGACUGUAACUGACGCUGAGGCGCGAAAGCGUGGGGAGCAAACAGGAUUAGAUACCCUGGUAGUCCACGCCGUAAACGAUGAGUGCUAGGUGUUAGGGGCCUCGAGCUCUUAGUGGCGCAGCU